CCAAAAACGAACAACCUGCAUAAAACUAAACAGUAGUAUAAUUGUCAACAUUACUUGUGCAAGAAAAUAUUAAAUAAAAAGAUUAAAAUGAUUAAAGAGCCUAGUGGUCAUCAAAAAAACUGCCUACAUAUCAUAUUGUUUUCUUAGUGUUUUGCAAAGAUAUAUAACAUAAUGACCAUUUCAUACCAAAGAGACGUUGCAAGUUCAACUGCUGGUGGCUUCACUCGUCUUUUAUUCAAAUGGAAAGGAUCUUUAUAUAAGCUUAUUUAUCGUGAAUUACUAUUAUUUCUUUCAGCCUAUAUCCUAUUGUCACUUUUGUAUAGACAAAUCCUGACACAAAAUCAAAGAGGACUCUUCGAAAUGGUUGUCAAGUACUUCGAUGCAUUCCUAAAUUUGAUCCCACUAUCAUUUGUAUUAGGUUUUUAUGUAUCCUAUGUUGCUUCUCGAUGGUGGCAACAAUUUUUGGCAAUUCCUUGGCCUGACAAAUUAUUCCAUUCUAUUGCCUGCUUUGUCGAUGGAUUUGAUCAAGAUAGCCGAAUUCUUCGUCGUUCUUUAAUGCGAUACAUGAAUUUGGCUCUUAUUUUAGUGUUAAGGUCAAUUUCAUCCGCUGUUAAGCAAAGGUUUCCCACUUUAGAUCAUGUUGUUGAAGCAGGAUUCAUGACAAAUCAAGAAAAAGAACUAUUUCAAGCUGUACCCAGCAAUGAAUUCAAUACUUACUGGAUUCCUUGUACAUGGUUUAUUUACCGAAUUCAAGAAGCUUCAAAGAAUAAUAAACUUGUCACCCAUUAUGCUCUGGAAACUAUCAUGAGAGAAUUCUGUGAAUUUCGAGCAAAGUGUGGUCUUCUUUGGUGUUAUGAUUGGGUGUCUAUACCCAUGGUAUACACACAAGUUGUAACUUUGGCAACAUAUGUAUUUUUUAUUUUUACUGUUAUUGGCCGACAGAAAAUUGAUACACUAAAAAAGGGGGAAUAUAUGAGAUCUGGUAGAAUGCCCAUGGAUAUUGAUCUAUAUAUCCCUAUCUUUACAGUUCUACAAUUCUUUUUUUAUAUGGGAUUACUGAAAGUAGCUGAACAACUAAUUAAUCCUUUUGGAGAUGAUGAUGAAGACUUUGAACUAAACUGGCUUGUGGAUCGGCAUAUGAAAGCUUCUUUUUUGGGUUGCGACAUUCUUAUGGAUCCCGACCGAAUUCCGCCAAUGGUAAAGGAUUUUUAUUGGGACAAACAGAACUGUCCUAUUCCCUACACAGAAGCCUCAAUGCACUUUAAGCGUAAAACGUAUAAAGGAUCUGCAGAUGAUAUGAUAAUUCCUGAAAGUAAACAACAUAUGGUUCUCCCUGAAAUAGAAGAAGAGGAUGACAAUGACAAAAGACAAUCUAGAUUAUCCCUUACAAGUUUGCUAUUAGAGUCAACAUCUCAGUUGGUUACAAGCACUGGUCUAGGAAUUGCGAAUUCGGUACAAACUUCAGUCAAUAGAAAGAGAUCAAUUGGAGAUUUAGGAUCAUCACAGGUUUUUCAUCCAGGAGCGUGGAGGAAUGGUGGUCAUUUAUCAAAAAAUAACAACACAACAACUACUCGUCGGGUUCCACUAUUUCCAAUGAGUGCUCUGAAUCCUUUUACUUCAACUUCUGUUCCAGUAUUUUACAAUUAGAUUUCUUUUAACAUUUCAGAGGAAUAUUAAAGACAAUCAAUGCAACAUAUUUUUUUCGAGGAUGAGAUCUAGAGCAAGGGAUAUGUAUUUGAACCAAUGGAUGAUGAAAUAACCCACUUGGAUGCUAAAAGACAUCUGCGCAAUGAACGAUAAUUCCAUGAAAUGAGAUGCUAUCAAACAAGUAAGGCACAAAAAAAAUUCUAAUGUCAGAUUUCAUAUUUUCCUUUAUUUCCUAUGUUAUAAACAGAUAUGAAUUCAAUGGAACUAUGAGUGGACUCAGAUCCAAAUAUCCACAUGUUCUGCAACAAGGAUACAUCCAGACCAUCCAUAUUGUCAUAGACUUAGUUAAUUUGAUGCAUAGAUCACUAUUCUGACUAAAGAUUAUCACAUGAACUAUUUAAAAAAAAAAAGCUGAGUUACUAGGAAUUGAUUCUAAUGAUUAUGAAGUACCAGUUCGAAGAACAUCUUAUGAAAGUGUUAAUCUAUCAGAAGAUAAUGACUAUGACGCAAGGUAUUCUAGCAAAA
rnacentral:misc_RNA from 1 species